rnacentral:rRNA from 1 species
UACGUAGGGUGCGAGCGUUAAUCGGAAUUACUGGGCGUAAAGCGUGCGCAGGCGGUUCUAUAAGACAGAUGUGAAAUCCCCGGGCUCAACCUGGGAAUGGCAUUUGUGACUGUAGAGCUAGAGUACGGUAGAGGGGGAUGGAAUUCCGCGUGUAGCAGUGAAAUGCGUAGAUAUGCGGAGGAACACCGAUGGCGAAGGCAAUCCCCUGGACCUGUACUGACGCUCAUGCACGAAAGCGUGGGGAGCAAACAGGAUUAGAUACCCUGGUAGUCCACGCCCUAAACGAUGUCAACUGGUUGUUGGGUGCAUUAGUACUCAGUAACGAAGCUAACGCGUGAAGUUGACCGCCUGGGGAGUACGGCCGCAAGGUUG